GUGUCAGCCGCCGCGGUAAUACGGAGGGUGCAAGCGUUAUCCGGAUUCACUGGGUUUAAAGGGUGCGUAGGCGGGCAGGUAAGUCCGUGGUGAAAUCCCCGAGCUUAACUCGGGAACUGCCGUGGAUACUAUCUGUCUUGAAUAUUGUGGAGGUAAGCGGAAUAUGUCAUGUAGCGGUGAAAUGCUUAGAUAUGACAUAGAACACCAAUUGCGAAGGCAGCUUGCUACACAGUUAUUGACGCUGAGGCACGAAAGCGUGGGGAUCAAACAGGAUUAGAUACCCCCGUAGUCC
rnacentral:rRNA from 1 species